AGUGACAGUGACAGUGAGGUGACGGCGGUGGCUCUCGCUGUGCCCAGACCACCAGAAGCUGGAGAGGGAGGCACGCAUCUGCCGGCUGCUGAAACACUCCAACAUCGUGCGGCUCCACGACAGCAUCUCGGAGGAGGGCUUCCACUACCUCGUGUUCGACCUGGUGACAGGCGGGGAGCUGUUCGAGGACAUCGUGGCCCGGGAGUACUACAGCGAGGCGGACGCCAGGUGAGCCCCCCGGCCCCGGGCG